rnacentral:rRNA from 1 species
AUUGAACGCUGGCGGCAUGCCUUACACAUGCAAGUCGAACGGUAACGCGGGGCAACCUGGCGACGAGUGGCGAACGGGUGAGUAAUACAUCGGAACGUGCCCAGUAGUGGGGGAUAGCCCGGCGAAAGCCGGAUUAAUACCGCAUACGACCUACGGGUGAAAGCGGGGGACCGCAAGGCCUCGCGCUAUUGGAGCGGCCGAUGUCAGAUUAGCUAGUUGGUGGGGUAAAGGCCUACCAAGGCGACGAUCUGUAGCUGGUCUGAGAGGACGACCAGCCACACUGGGACUGAGACACGGCCCAGACUCCUACGGGAGGCAGCAGUGGGGAAUUUUGGACAAUGGGCGCAAGCCUGAUCCAGCAAUGCCGCGUGCAGGAAGAAGGCCUUCGGGUUGUAAACUGCUUUUGUACGGAGCGAAAAGGCUCUCUCUAAUACAGGGGGCUCAUGACGGUACCGUAAGAAUAAGCACCGGCUAACUACGUGCCAGCCGCCGCAGUAAGAC